AUGAGGCGAACCGGGGGAACUGAAACAUCUAAGUACCCCGAGGAAAAGAAAUCAACCGAGAUUCCCCCAGUAGCGGCGAGCGAACGGGGAGGAGCCCAGAGCCUGAAUCAGUGUGUGUGUUAGUGGAAGCGUCUGGAAAGGCGCGCGAUACAGGGUGACAGCCCCGUACACAAAAAUGCACAUGCUGUGAGCUCGAUGAGUAGGGCGGGACACGUGGUAUCCUGUCUGAAUAUGGGGGGACCAUCCUCCAAGGCUAAAUACUCCUGACUGACCGAUAGUGAACCAGUACCGUGAGGGAAAGGCGAAAAGAACCCCGGCGAGGGGAGUGAAAAAGAACCUGAAACCGUGUACGUACAAGCAGUGGGAGCACGCUUAGGCGUGUGACUGCGUACCUUUUGUAUAAUGGGUCAGCGACUUAUAUUCUGUAGCAAGGUUAACCGAAUAGGGGAGCCGAAGGGAAACCGAGUCUUAACUGGGCGUUAAGUUGCAGGGUAUAGACCCGAAACCCGGUGAUCUAGCCAUGGGCAGGUUGAAGGUUGGGUAACACUAACUGGAGGACCGAACCGACUAAUGUUGAAAAAUUAGCGGAUGACUUGUGGCUGGGGGUGAAAGGCCAAUCAAACCGGGAGAUAGCUGGUUCUCCCCGAAAGCUAUUUAGGUAGCGCCUCGUGAAUUCAUCUCCGGGGGUAGAGCACUGUUUCGGCAAGGGGGUCAUCCCGACUUACCAACCCGAUGCAAACUGCGAAUACCGGAGAAUGUUAUCACGGGAGACACACGGCGGGUGCUAACGUCCGUCGUGAAGAGGGAAACAACCCAGACCGCCAGCUAAGGUCCCAAAGUCAUGGUUAAGUGGGAAACGAUGUGGGAAGGCCCAGACAGCCAGGAUGUUGGCUUAGAAGCAGCCAUCAUUUAAAGAAAGCGUAAUAGCUCACUGGUCGAGUCGGCCUGCGCGGAAGAUGUAACGGGGCUAAACCAUGCAC
rnacentral:rRNA from 1 species